GUAAAAGACUACAGAACCUGAUAGCAGAGAUUGGGAUGAUGCUUCUACAAGCCAAGAAUGCCAGAAAUUUCCAGCAAGCCAUAAGAAGCUAGAAGAGACAUAUGGAACAGAUCAUCCCCAUAGCUUUCAGAAGGAACCCUGCUGACACCUUGAUCUUGGACUUCUAGACUCAGAACAGUGAGCCAGUAAAAUUCUAUUCUUUAAGUCAUACAGUUUGUGGUGCUUUAUUAUGGUAGCUCCAGCCAACUAAUACAACUCCAGACCAUUUAUUGAGUUAUGAGUUCUGGAGAAUUGUGUAUAAAUCUAUUUUCAAUUUCUCUCAAUUUAUGAUUGACUAUAUUACCAUUUCUCAUACUUAAACACGUCUGGAGUGCACCUGAAGUAAAGACUAGUCCUUAGCUCCUGUGAAAACUCAGGGGCAAAGUGAAUCUGCCAUUUGACUCCUACUCCUGUCAACUUCAGGGUGACUGCUGCAGACACAGAUGGGAUGUCUCACUAGAGAAAGAAAAUGGUGCAAGAGAAUUCUUCAGAAUCUGUUUCUGAAAGCUAUUUUGUGCCACCUUCAACUGACUGGAAGACUAUGUUUGGGAGAAUGAUGUGAAAUGUUAUCUUUGGAUGUUGGAGAUAAUUCUUUAAAGCACUGUAGUAUAUGAAAAAUGGUAUUUGAAUCAAUAAAUAAUUAAAUUAAUGAUGAUCUUUUGGGGAA
rnacentral:lncRNA from 1 species